UACGGAGGGGGCUAGCGUUGUUCGGAAUUACUGGGCGUAAAGGGUGCGUAGGCGGGUUUUUAAGUCAGGGGUGAAAUCCUGGAGCUCAACUCCAGAACUGCCUUUGAUACUGAAGAUCUUGAGUCCGGGAGAGGUGAGUGGAACUGCGAGUGUAGAGGUGAAAUUCGUAGAUAUUCGCAAGAACACCAGUGGCGAAGGCGGCUCACUGGCCCGGUACUGACGCUGAGGCACGAAAGCGUGGGGAGCAAACAGG
rnacentral:rRNA from 1 species